UACGUAGGCAGCGAGCGUUGUUCGGAGUUACUGGGCGUCAAGGGUGUGUAGGCGGUUUUCUAAGUCUGGUGUGAAAUCUCCCGGCUCCACUGGGGGGGUGCGCCGAAAACUGGAAGGCUAGAGUACUGGAUGGGAGAGUGGAAUUCCUGGUGUAGCGGUGAAAUGCGUAGAUAUCAGGAGGAACACCUGUGGUGUAGACGGCUCUCUGGACAGUAACUGACGCUGAGACACGAAAGCGUGGGUAGCAAACAGG
rnacentral:rRNA from 1 species